rnacentral:tRNA from 1 species
AGCUCUGUGGUGAAGUUCAUAUUAGAUUGCAAAUCUGAAGAUAUACUUUAAUAGGUAUCAGUGCUU